UGCGCACCAAAAGGAGGGCACCCAGCGUGGCCAUGUCAGCGCGGCUCGCCUCGGCCGUCGGAUCGGCCAAUGGACAGCCUGGAUCGCGCGCACGGAGGUCCCCGCCACCGCCGCCUCCGCCGUCGAGAGAUCCGGCCGCAUGUCUCCCUCCCCUCCGUCCCGGGCGCCGAGGUCCGGGCGCACCCCCGCUCCGUCCCGGGCGCCGCGCCGUCCCGUCCGCCGCGCCCCGGCCGCCGCGCCGUCGACCCCGGCAACGCCGAUCCGUCCCGAGACCUCUCGACGGACGUGCAGGAGGCGCUUGACGCGGCGCCGCUCGACCCCGCCCGCUGCGCCAUCCGCACGGCGCGCGACACCGCUCGCCGGCCGGACCAGGGCAGCACGCCUCCCUCCCCUCCGGCGCACCGCAUCUCGACUUCUCCCGGCGGCUGCUGGGCAGCACGCCUCCCUCCCCUCCGGCGCACCGCACCGGGAGUCUUUGCAGGUGGAUGGCUUGGCGCCUUGGCUCCUGGCGCCCAGGCCUGGACGUGCGUGCUGCAGGUCCAGCUCAAGUCCUGCAGCGGCAGGCAAGGUGCUAGCGGCACCUGAUCCACCGGCCUGGAGGCUCACACGGCCGGCCACCAGCAGCUGCAACAAGAGCAGAGUCAAGAACGGCACACGAAGGGAAGGACAGCAAGCACUAACAAAUUAACAUCUUGAUCUUGGGAUUUUUGGGCUCGUGAAUGCUUGGCUUUUUAUUUGUUUUGCAGGUCUCCACCGAGCGUGUGUGUGUGUGUGGGGGACAUCCCAGCUCCAAUCGAACUUGUUCUUCAUCAGCAUUAUCUCGCCCGGAAGAUUUAUUUCCUCCCCUCCUCGAAGCCGCGGAGCUGUGCGGCGCGGACAGGCCUCGCUGCGGCCAGCUCCCGGCAGAGAUGAGGCGGGCAGAGCAAGGGCGGACGGCGGGCGCGCGGAGCAAGGGCCGACGGCGGCGCGGCGGAGGCCCUCGCGGGGCGCGGCGAACGGGGGCCGCCGAGCGCACUGCGGGGGAGCGGGCGCUCGUCGAGGCGGAGCUGCAGCGCCGAGCUGUGCGCCGGUCAGCCGCGUCGAGUCACCGCGCCGCCGAGCCUCCCGUUAGGCCGCCACGCCGUCGGUCCGCCUGCGCCACCGGGCCGCCGCCUACCCGCCGGGCCGCUGUGGAGAAGAACGGAGGAGGAGGAGCCGCAAAGUCGACCUGCCCGACGAGUACCUGCGCCGAGCCACCACGACGCUGCGCUUGUUGCCCAGCUCCAUGCCCCCGAACAAAUCCUACUACUCGACGGCGAUCAUGGCGAAGGACGCCUUGGCCUUGAUGGAUCAUUUGGGGUGGAAGAAAGCACAUGCCUUUGGCCACUCUAUGGGAAUGUGUCAAGGGCAUAUCUUCAACAGGAAUGCAAUCUAAUUGUGGUCUUGAAGGGCAAGUUAAUGCAUGCUGGACUCACAACAUGAUGACUACAAAAGAAUUAGAGACAAUACGCUCUGCCGGUUUUCUAAUUUUAGUUAUUCAUGAAAGAUUAGUUUCUCUAACAGCAGAUAUUAUAUUCAGAGAAUGGUACCAUUUCACUUGACUUACAUAAUAUGCACGUACUAUAUAACUGCACAAUUGUGCAAUGCAAAACAUCUAGCAGAAAGACUUCUUCCUACUGCUAGAAUGGUACAACUUCAUGGUGCAGCUCGUCUAUCUUGCCGCUUGCCGAGCCCUCAGUUGUAGCCAUGUAUGUCCCCUUCUACCCACCACUGUCUAUUAAGAGCACAUAUGCACAGCAACUGUUCGCUACUUUGCCUCUAUGAGAUCAUUGCUCAGUUUGAACAUGGAACAUAUGUACAAAUGACUGCUAUUAUAUUCAUCACCUACAAAUGGAUAUGGACCAUUCCAUUAGCUUAAAUGAUACAUAAAGUGUGUAUAGUUUUAUCGACUCAUAAAUACUUUUAACCGCCACCUCUGGUCUCCACAACUUUGGAUUAUUUAUUAUCUGGGUUGAUAAUUUUACUUUUAGAAGUAUUGAGGGUAUGACACAAAUGAAAAUUAACUGAACAAUGAUUAGUUUAAAAUUUUGAUCUCAGUUGAACAAAGGUUAAUUUGGUGUCCAUAUGGUAAACCGCAAUGGUCUCCUUGCAAAAGUCAUACCGUGUACGCAAAGGACGGUAUACAUUUGCCGCCUUAUGAUUCAGAUACGUCGUGUUUUCGAUCAUCUGUGCAUUAUGCUAAGCGAGGUUAUUUCUACGGUACAUCUACAACCAAGAAAGCAACUGAAUUCUCCAUUGACGGUAUGCAUUAGAACUCUUGUAAUUUCUCUGCACUCCUACAAGGCUUUGAAUUUAACAGGUGUGUUGCUAUACUCUGCAUAUGCUAUCCAUCUCACACUUAAUUAGGGAGGGACCUAGGUGCAAAGCAUUUGUCCUAUUAAGUUUUGCAUUUUAUUUUAUGUUUCAAUCAGCUACAAGUUAUAAAAGCUAUGUAAAACCAAGAUUCUCAUAACUCGAUCUAUGGAAUAGAUAUAUUCAAAUUCAAAUACUCAGCAUUACAGAUUCAGUUUCUGCAUCUAUAUCCAUUUUACAUAUUAAUUU